GACGAACGCUGGCGGCGUGCCUAGUACAUGCAAGUAGAACGCUGAAGGAGGAGCUUGCUUCUCUGGAUGAGUUGCGAACGGGUGAGUAACGCGUAGGUAACCUGCCUGGUAGCGGGGGAUAACUAUUGGAAACGAUAGCUAAUACCGCAUAAUAGUAGAUGUUGCAUGACAUUUGCUUAAAAGGUGCAAUUGCAUCACUACCAGAUGGACCUGCGUUGUAUUAGCUAGUUGGUGGGGUAACGGCUCACCAAGGCGACGAUACAUAGCCGACCUGAGAGGGUGAUCGGCCACACUGGGACUGAGACACGGCCCAGACUCCUACGGGAGGCAGCAGUAGGGAAUCUUCGGCAAUGGACGGAAGUCUGACCGAGCAACGCCGCGUGAGUGAAGAAGGUUGUCGGAUCGUAAAGCUCUGUUGUAAGAGAAGAACGAGUGUGAGAGUGGAAAGUUCACACUGUGACGGUAUCUUACCAGAAAGGGACGGCUAACUACGUG
rnacentral:rRNA from 1 species